rnacentral:tRNA from 1 species
GCCGCCAUCGCUCAGUGGUAGAGCAACGGAUUGCUAAUCCGUGCCGUUUCGGUUCCUGGGUUCGAUUCCCAGUGGCGGCG